GACGAACGCUGGCGGCGUGCUUAACACAUGCAAGUCGAACGGAAAGGCCCCUUUUGGGGUACUCGAGUGGCGAACGGGUGAGUAACACGUGAGUAACCUGCCCUUGACUUCGGGAUAACUUCAGGAAACUGGGGCUAAUACCGGAUAGGAAUCCUUGCUGCAUGGUGGGGGUUGGAAAGCUUCGGCGGUUUUGGAUGGACUCGCGGCUUAUCAGCUUGUUGGUGGGGUAGUGGCUUACCAAGGCUUUGACGGGUAGCCGGCCUGAGAGGGCGACCGGCCACAUUGGGACUGAGAUACGGCCCAGACGCCUACGGGAGGCAGCAGUGGGGAAUAUUGCACAAUGGGCGGAAGCCGGAUGCAGCAACGCCGCGGGCGGGAGGACGGCCUUAGGGUUGGAAACCGCUUUCAGCAGGGGCGAAGCUUGUGGUGACGGUACCUGCAGAAGAAGCACCGGCUAACUACGUG
rnacentral:rRNA from 1 species